rnacentral:rRNA from 1 species
UACGUAGGGCGCAAGCGUUGUCCGGAAUUAUUGGGCGUAUAGAGCUCGUAGGCGGUUUGUCGCGUCUGCCGUGAAAGCUCACAGCUUAACUGUGGGUCUGCGGUGGAUACGGGCAGACUAGAGGCAGGUAGGGGAGAACGGAAUUCCCGGUGUGGCGGUGAAAUGCGCAGAUAUCGGGAGGAACACCGGUGGCGAAGGCGGUUCUCUGGGCCUGUACUGACGCUGAGGAGCGAAAGCGUGGGGAGCAAACGGG